rnacentral:rRNA from 1 species
AAUGAACGCUGGCGGCAGGCCUAACACAUGCAAGUCGAACGAGUGGCGGACGGGUGAGUAAUGUCUGGAAACUGCCUGAUGGAGGGGGAUAACUACUGGAAACGGUAGCUAAUACCGCAUACCAUCGGAUGUGCCCAGAUAGGAUUAGCUAGUGGGUGGGGUAAAGGCUCACCUAGGCGAGGAUCCCUAGCUGGUCUGAGAGGAUGACCAGCCACACUGGAACGGAGAGACGGACCAGACCCUGACAGGAGGCAGCGUGGAGGAAUAUAACACAAGUGACGCAAGCCUGAUGCAACCAUGCCGCGUGUCUUAAAAAGGCCUUCGGGGUUUAAAGCACUUUCAGUGAGGAGUCGUUACUCGAAGAAUAAGCACCGGCUAACUCCGUGCCAGCAGCCGCGGUAAUUC